rnacentral:rRNA from 1 species
GGAUUAGUGGCGAACGGGUGAGUAACACGUGGGCAAUCUGCCCUGCACUCUGGGACAAGCCCUGGAAACGGGGUCUAAUACCGGAUACUGACCACUGGGGGCAUCCUCGGUGGUCGAAAGCUCCGGCGGUGCAGGAUGAGCCCGCGGCCUAUCAGCUUGUUGGUGAGGUAGUGGCUCACCAAGGCGACGACGGGUAGCCGGCCUGAGAGGGCGACCGGCCACACUGGGACUGAGACACGGCCCAGACUCCUACGGGAGGCAGCAGUGGGGAAUAUUGCACAAUGGGCGAAAGCCUGAUGCAGCGACGCCGCGUGAGGGAUGACGGCCUUCGGGUUGUAAACCUCUUUCAGCAGGGAAGAAGCGAAAGUGACGGUACCUGCAGAAGAAGCGCCGGCUAACUACGUGCCAGCAGCCGCGGUAAUACGUAGGGCGCGAGCGUUGUCCGGAAUUAUUGGGCGUAAAGAGCUCGUAGGCGGCUUGUCACGUCGGUUGUGAAAGCCCGGGGCUUAACCCCGGGUCUGCAGUCGAUACGGGCAGGCUAGAGUUCGGU